rnacentral:rRNA from 1 species
AAUAUUGGACAAUGGGGGCAACCCUGAUCCAGCCAUGCCGCGUGUGUGAAGAAGGUCUUCGGAUUGUAAAGCACUUUAAUUUGGGAGGAAGGGCUUUAGGUUAAUACGCUGAAGCUUUGACGUUACCAACAGAAUAAGCACCGGCUCUCUCUGUGCCAGCAGCCGCGGUAAUACAGCGGGUGCAAGCGUUAAUCGGAAUUACUGGGCGUAAAGCGCGCGUAGGUGGUUCGGUAAGAUGGGUGUGAAAUCCCCGGGCGUAACCUGGGCACUGCUUUCAUAACUGCUGAGCUAGAGUACGGUAGAGGGUAGUGGAAUUUCCUGUGUAGCGGUGAAAUGCGUAGAUAUAGGAAGGAACACCAGUGGCGAAGGCGACUACCUGGACUGAUACUGACACUGAGGUGCGAAAGCGUGGGGAGCAAAC